UACAGAGGGGGCAAGCGUUGUUCGGAAUUACUGGGCGUAAAGGGCGCGUAGGCGGCCUGCUAAGUCGAACGUGAAAUCCCUGGGCUCAACCCAGGAACUGCGUCCGAUACUGGUUGGCUUGAAUCCGGGAGAGGGAUGUGGAAUUCCAGGUGCAGCGGUGAAAUGCGUAGAUAUCUGGAGGAACACCGGUGGCGAAGGCGACAUCCUGGACCGGUAUUGACGCUGAGGCGCGAAAGCCAGGGGAGCAAACGGG
rnacentral:rRNA from 1 species